rnacentral:rRNA from 1 species
UACGUAGGGUGCAAGCGUUAAUCGGAAUUACUGGGCGUAAAGCGUGCGCAGGCGGUUGUGUAAGACAGAUGUGAAAUCCCCGGGCUCAACCUGGGAACUGCAUUUGUGACUGCACGGCUCGAGUGCGGCAGAGGGGGAUGGAAUUCCGCGUGUAGCAGUGAGAUGCGUAGAUAUGCGGAGGAACACCGAUGGCGAAGGCAAUCCCCUGGGCCUGCACUGACGCUCAUGCACGAAAGCGUGGGGAGCAAACAGG